rnacentral:rRNA from 1 species
GACGAACGCUGGCGGCGUGCUUAACACAUGCAAGUGGAGCGACGAACCAGGCUUCGGCCUGGGGCAGAGCCGCGAACGGGUGAGUAACACGUGGGUAACCUGCCUCGAUGACCGGGACAACCCGGGAACCGGCGUAAUACCGGAUGUGCUGCCUUCACAUCAGUGGAGACAGGAAGGAAGACUUCGCCUCCGCAUCGAGAUGGGCCCGCGGCCCAUUA